rnacentral:lncRNA from 1 species
CUAUUUUCUCCUCCGAACAAGUAAUCAAUAAGUUGACAACUGCCAGCAAAGCAGGAAGGAGCCGUUUCAGACUCCCUAGGACCUCUCUCCUACUGAGAGCGAGACAAGAAAGCUGCUUUUUUGGGUUUGUUUCUUCUUCCCACCACUAACAUGUAAUUUUCAUGCAGCAGCCUGAAGUUCCAUCCAAGAAAACAAAAUGAGAUGAAAUCAGCAAGGAUGUGUAACUACACGCUCGGCUAAAUGCUGGAGACGACACCCAUGCCAGAGCCCAGCUCAUCUCAUCCGAGGCUGCCUGCCGGGGGUGGAAGCAGCCCCUUCUUCACAUUUCUAAAAGUGGAAGUACUUGUGUCAAAGACACAGCGAGAGAAGCUGAGACAGAGGGAGCAGGCCAGCCUGGUGAAGUGAGGAGCAUUGGAGCAGGAGGCUGCUGACUCCGCCUCUGAGGCGCCGGCUGACCGUUCCCUGGGGCUGGGCUGACUCAGAACAAGCUUCUGCCCGAGAGCUACACCCUGAUGUCCCGCGCCUGCUGAUGUUGCGGACUGCUAUUGUUUAGAGUUUGGUUCAAACUUCCCUUAAAGCAUAAAUAGAACAGCGAAGCCACAUCCGUGUGCUUCUUGGGAAAUAGUGGACUGUAGUGUCCAGCAGAAUAGAGUCCAGGAUCUUUGAUAGAAUGGUUGGUACAAUGAAAAUAGAAACGAUUGUAGCAGUAGUUCUGCCCAGAAGUUUGAAGGGCCCAGCAAGAGGCCACACACCACAGGUCUAACUAUUUAAAAGUUACUCAUCAAACUGUUAAACAAAACAUAUUCUUAUCUUCCUGCAUUUGCAAAUAGGCCUUGAUAACAACCUAAAGAGGUGUUCAAAUUUAGGAUUUGUAGCACUCGAGGUUAACAACCUGCACAUGGGGGGUUGCAGGACAAGCCCGCUCUUGGCCAGUGGCCUGCCCUCCUUCCUUUCUCCCCCCAACACCUGAGAGGCCUCCAAGCUCCAUCCACACCCCAGAAACAGCUGUCCUGCUUUACCCCUGGGGCCUGGGGGUAUGAUCCACCCCAGGAAGACAGACCCGGGGAAUAGAUACACAUAGACACUAACAGUGGGAACAGGCAGGAAAUUCAGAUUCACAAUUACCUGAAA